UUGGGAGCUCUCCCAUAUGGUCGACCUGCAGGCGGCCGCGAAUUCACUAGUGAUUCGUAUUACCGCGGCUGCUGGCACAGAGUUAGCCGGUGCUUAUUCUGUCGGUAACGUCAAAACACUAACGUAUUAGGUUAAUGCCCUUCCUCCCAACUUAAAGUGCUUUACAAUCCGAAGACCUUCUUCACACACGCGGCAUGGCUGGAUCAGGCUUUCGCCCAUUGUCCAAUAUUCCCCACUGCUGCCUCCCGUAGGAGUGGGGACCGUGUCUCAGUUCCCCUGUGGCCGUUCAUUCUCUCAAACCAGCUACGCAUCAUUGCCUAGGUGGGAUUUACCCACACCCAAUAGCUAAUACGACUUAUUCUCAUCAACUAGCGAAGGUCUAAAGACCUCCUUUCAUUACGUAAACGAAUACGCAACAAAUGCGGUAUUACCCACGAUUUCUCAUGGCUAUCCCCCACUAAUUGGCAGAUCAAAUAAGCAUUACUCACCCGUACGCCGCUAAAGAUAAUAUUGCUAUCAUCUUCCGCUCGACUUGCAUGUGUUAAGCACACUACCAACGUUCACCCUGAGCCAUGAUCAAACUCUAAUCGAAUUCCCGCGGCCGCCAUGGCGCCCGGGAACAUGCGACG
rnacentral:rRNA from 1 species